CUGCGAGUGAAGUGGCAAAAGCUCAAAUUUGAAAUCUGACCGUCUUCGUUUUGUGGGACUGUCCGAGUUGUAAUUUGGAGGAGCGUUUUCAGGAAUCCUUGGCACCAUCCGAAGUUCCGUGGAACCGGACGUCACAGAGGGUGAGAAUCCCGUGCAUGGGCGGUAGCUAGUUUUCCGUGUGAUGCGCUUCCGACGAGUCGAGUUGUUUGGGAAUGCAGCUCAAAAUGGGUGGUAAAUUUCAUCUAAAGCUAAAUACUGGCGAGAGACCGAUAGCGCACAAGUAGAGUGAUCGAAAGAUGAAAAGCACUUUGAAAAGAGAGUUAAAAAGUACGUGAAAUUGUUGAAAGGGAAGCGCUUGAGAUCAAACUCGGUUUUUGGCGAAGCCGCGAGCUUUUGUUGCUUGCGGCCGCUUGCCAUGGACUGAGCCAGCAUCGGUUCCGACGGUGGGAAACAUGGCUUUGGAAUGUGGCUCUUUUCUUCGAAGGAGUGUUUAUAGACUCAGCCAAACACCGCCAGACGGGACCGAGGACCGCGCUUCGGCUAGGAUGCUGGCGUAAUGGUCUUAAGCGACCCGUCUUGAAACACGGACCAAGGAGUCUAACAUCUAUGCGAGUGUUCGGGUGGAAAACCCUUGCGCGCAAUGAAAGUGAACGGAGGUGGG
rnacentral:rRNA from 1 species